CGCAAGCCUGACGGAGCAACGCCGCGUGUGGGAAGAAGGCUCUUGGGCUGUAAACCACUUUUCUCAGGGAAGAAGGACUGACGGUACCUGAGGAAUAAGCCUCGGCUAACUCCGUGCCAGCAGCCGCGGUAAGACGGAGGAGGCAAGCGUUAUCCGGAAUUAUUGGGCGUAAAGCGUCCGUAGGUGGUUAUUCAAGUCUGCUGUCAAAGCGUGGGGCUUAACUCCAUAGAGGCAGUGGAAACUGGAUGACUUGAGUGCGGUAGGGGUCGAGGGAAUUCCCAGUGUAGCGGUGAAAUGCGUAGAUAUUGGGAAGAACACCAGUGGCGAAAGCGCUCGACUGGGCCUGCACUGACACUGAGGGACGAAAGCUAGGGGAGCG
rnacentral:rRNA from 1 species